rnacentral:piRNA from 1 species
UGAAAACAUCAUUUUAUGGACACAAGU